rnacentral:tRNA from 1 species
GGGAUAAUAGUUAAUAAUAACAUUUAAUUUGCAAUUAAAAAGUAUUGUAAUAUCAAUUUAUCUUA